CACAUCCGGGUUAUAUUCAAGAUCCCUCUCUAGAUCUUCUUCUUCUUCAAAAGUCUUUCUCCCCUUCAGGUUCCUCUUCCUUAGCUUCUCCUCAGGGUCCUGAAAUGGUUAUUCAAUAACCAAUGAGACCACGUCUCAGCGAGUCCUACCCCCUACGACUCGAUUAGUAAACUAAUAUGCCAUACGGUUGCCUAAGCACAACACGAGUCAGAGGACUUACCUUAGCCUCAGUUCCAACCUGCAAUUCAAGGUUAAACAUAGAUAUUCAAACAAUUCACGACAUCCGAUCAAGCACUGGUCAAUCGACUAAGUCGAUUACAUGUCAGCCAGACCCUUUCUAGGUCAUUCCCACUCAUACCACGAUUUCCCAGUGGUGUACUCAUUCACCAAAUCACAUGUGUUUCUCGGGCGUCGUUUUCGCCAAUGACAUACCGAUCACCGACACCGUGCGUUCUUUAAGGCGCCGUUUUCACCAGUG
rnacentral:lncRNA from 1 species